GAUGAACGCUGGCGGCGUGCCUAAUACAUGCAAGUCGAGCGAACAGACGAGGAGCUUGCUCCUCUGACGUUAGCGGCGGACGGGUGAGUAACACGUGGAUAACCUACCUAUAAGACUGGGAUAACUUCGGGAAACCGGAGCUAAUACCGGAUAAUAUAUUGAACCGCAUGGUUCAAUAGUGAAAGACGGUUUUGCUGUCACUUAUAGAUGGAUCCGCGCCGCAUUAGCUAGUUGGUAAGGUAACGGCUUACCAAGGCAACGAUGCGUAGCCGACCUGAGAGGGUGAUCGGCCACACUGGAACUGAGACACGGUCCAUGCUCCUACGGGAGGCAGCAGUAGGGAAUCUUCCGCAAUGGGCGAAAGCCUGACGGAGCAACGCCGCGUGAGUGAUGAAGGUCUUCGGAUCGUAAAACUCUGUUAUUAGGGAAGAACAAAUGUGUAAGUAACUAUGCACGUCUUGACGGUACCUAAUCAGAAAGCCACGGCUAACUACGUG
rnacentral:rRNA from 1 species